AUUGAACGCUGGCGGCAGGCCUAACACAUGCAAGUCGAACGAGUGGCGGACGGGUGAGUAAUGUCUGGGAAACUGCCUGAUGGAGGGGGCUCACUACUGGAAACGGUAGCUAAUACCGCAUACCAUCGGAUGUUCCCCGAUGGGAUUAGCUAGUAGGGGGGGUAAAGGCGUACCUAGGCGACGAUCCCUAGCUGGUCUGAGAGGAUGACAAGACACACUGGAACUGAGACACGGUCCAGACUCCUACGGGAGGCAGCAGUGGGGAAUAUUGCACAAUGGGCGCAAGCCUGAUGCAGCCAUGCCGCGUGUAUGAAGAAGGCCUGCGGGUUGUAAAGUACUUUAAGCGGGGAGGCGUUACCCGCAGAAGAAGCACCGGCUAACUCCGGGCCAGCAGCCGCGGUAAUAC
rnacentral:rRNA from 1 species